CUGUCAAACUGAGCAUUUGUUAAAAAAAUUUCGCAUGGUGAAUCCCCCUGUGUGGAGGGGCGACUGGUGAAAAAUCCUUGCUUGUGAUUCAUUAUCGACACGGGUUCGGUGGUACCAGGCCGAACUCACCGGGAGGCACCCGGCACCAUGCAGUAUACAGAGAUUAGGCAUAUACCAAGGCCUCUCAUAGCAGGGGCCUUUUUACAUGU
rfam:Escherichia coli O157 stxII genes for Shiga toxin II subuit A and subunit B, partial and complete cds, strain:NIID-25.